rnacentral:rRNA from 1 species
UUAACCUCAGCUCAGACAUGAAUACCCGCUGAAUUUAAGCAUAUAACUAAGCGGAGGAAAAGAAACUAACGAGGAUUUCCCUAGUAACGGCGAGUGAACGGGAAAAAGCCCAGCGCUGAAUCCUUUUAGCCGUUGGCUUUAAGGAACUGUAGCGUAUAGGUGUAACUAUCCAAAUGAUUCAUUCACCCAAAGUCCCCUUGAGCGGGGCCACACUCCAUAGAAGGUGCUAGGCCUGUACGGGUGGUGAAACAUUUGGUCUGGUUGCACUUUGGAGUCGGGUUGCCUGAGAUCGCAGCCCAAAGAGGGUGGUAAACCUCAUCUAAGGCUAAAUACGGCCACGAGACCGAUAGCAAACAAGUACCGUGAGGGAAAGUUGCAAAGAACUUUGAAGAGAGAGUUCAAGAGGGCGUGAAACCGCUGAGAUGGAAGCGGAUAGAGUUGACAAAACUUAUCGGUAUUCAACCAAUUAAUUUAGCGGUCUCACUGCUCUGUAUCUUCUGUGUUGCUUAUGUGACUGAUGGAGAGCAUUGUGGUGAGUGUAACUGUUAGAUUUGAUUGGUGUAUUUGCCGAUAGUAUGCGCCGAAAAUUUCGCUUAUGCAUAUUGAAAUAUGUUUUGUGUAGUGGACUAUGCCAAUUUUGGUAUGGAAACCUGCGCACGAUUGAAAUAUGUCUUCGGUGAAAUUACCAAGUGUACAAGAUAAAGAGCAACUUUCGAGCUCUAACGAGUGUUGCAUCAUUUGCAUGUUGCAUCAUGUAUGGAAUGUAUGCAGUCGCAUGCGACUUUUUGCUUCAGUCUGUUCGUUGCAUAUGCACAAAAUGCGUUGAAGUUGCAUUUCGGUGUGAACGUCAAUCACCUAUCCGACCCGUCUUGAAACACGGACCAAGGAGUUUAGCAUAUGCGCAAGCUAUUGGGUGGUAAACCCGUUCGAAAGACACAAUGAAAGUAAAGAUCAUUUUUGAAAUGAUUGAUAUGUGAUCCGUAUUGUUCAUAAAGCUAUGUUUUACGGUGCAACAUUGUCCCGUCCAUGUUUAGCUCAAUUGAGCAAACCGGGCGGAGAGAGAGCGUAUACGCUGAGACCCGAAAGAUGGUGAACUAUGCCUGAGCAGGAUGAAGCCAGAGGAAACUCUGGUGGAGGUCCGAAGCGAUUCUGACGUGCAAAUCGAUCGUCCGACUUGGGUAUAGGGGCGAAAGACUAAUCGAACUAUCUAGUAGCUGGUUCCCUCUGAAGUUUCCCCCAGGAUAGCUGGAGUACAGCAAAAUGCAGUUAUAUUCGGUAAAGCGAAUGAUUAGAGGAAUUGGGAACGAAACGUUCUCAACCUAUUCUCAAACUUUCAAUGGGUAUGAAGUUUCGCUUGCUUAAAUUUUGUGAAGCGUAAACAUUGAAUGUGUGCUCCAAGUGGGCCAUUUUUGGUAAGCAGAACUGGCGCUGUGGGAUGAACCAAACGUUGAGUUAAAGUGCCAAACUUCCCGCUCAUGAGACCCCAUGAAAGGCGUUGGUUGAUAUAGACAGCAGGACGGUGGCCAUGGAAGUCGGAAGCCGCUAAGGAGUGUGUAACAACUCACCUGCCGAAUCAACUAGCCCUGAAAAUGGAUGGCGCUUGAGCGGGAGACUUAUACUCGACCGUUGCUCGGCUUGUGCUCGUUUGAAAAAAAAUGAAUGAAUGAAUGAAUCAGAUCGCGGUGCUGUGAAUGUUGUAACACACACGCACACACCCGAGCUGUGAAAUUUGAAAUAACAACGUACACCAAUACGACGAAAAGCCUGGCCGCAACGAGUAAGAGGGUCGCAGUGGUUUGCGUUGAAGGCUUUGGGCGUAGGCCCGGCUGAAGCUUCCACUGGUGCAGAUCUUGGUGGUAGUAGCAAAUAUUCAAGUGAGAUCCUUGAAGACUGAAGUGGAGAAGGGUUCCACGUGAACAGCAGUUGAAUGUGGGUCAGUCGAUCCUAAGAUAUCGGCUAAUGCCGUUGCGGAUUACUGAGAAAAGGAGUUCAAAUCCAUCUUGGCAAUCGAAAGGGAAACGGGUUAAUAUUCCCGUACCUGGACACGGAGAUAAAUGCUCAUUAUGGGUGUUUAGCGCGGUAACGCAAACGAACUCGGAGAUGUUGAGCAAAGCCCGAGCCAGAGUUCUCUUUUCUGGUUAAGGAACGGACUCCCUGGAAUCGGUUCAGCCGGAGAUAGGGACGUUGUUUCCGUAAAGCGCCACGGUUCCUGUGGUGUCUCGUGCGCUUUGUUCGACCCAUGAAAAUCCGAGGGAGGCUAUUUGAAUUUCGUGCCAGAUCGUACCGAUAUCCGCAGCAGGUCUCCAAGGUGAACAGCCUCUAGUCGAUAGAAUAAUGUAGGUAAGGGAAGUCGGCAAAUUUGAUCCGUAACUUCGGAAAAAGGAUUGGCUCUAAGGACUGGGCCGGUCGGGCUGCAGUGUGAAGUGAGUACGGUUUGAUCCAUGCAGUGCGACGCCUGGUAAAACAGGUGAAGCUCGGCUAGUGUUCGAACUGUCUUAUGGACCGCUACAGCUGCGUAUCACAUCGUUCCCAUGCGAUGGCGAUACUUCGGCCGGCGCUAAACAGUCAGCUUAGAACUGGCACGGACUCGGGGAAUCCGACUGUCUAAUUAAAACAGAGGAGACAGAUGGCCCUUGCGGGCGUUGACUGUCUCUGAUUU